rnacentral:rRNA from 1 species
UACCUGGUUGAUCCUGCCAGUAGUCAUAUGCUUGUCUCAAAGAUUAAGCCAUGCAUGUGUAAAUAUGAAUUAAUUCAGACUGUGAAACUAUGAAUGGCUCAUUAAAUCAGUUAUAGUUUGUUUGACGGUACUUGCUACUCGGAUAACCAUGGUAAUUCUAGAGCUAAUACCUCCAUAAAACCCCAACUUCUGGAAGGGACACAUUUAUUAGAUAAAAGGUCGAUGCGGGCUUCCACCCAUUACUGCGAUGAUUCAUGAUAACUCGAUGGAUCGCACGGCCCUCGCGCCGAUGACGCAUCAUUCAAAUUUCUACCCUAUCAACUUUCGAUGGUAGGAUAGUCGUGUACUAUGGUGGUGAUGGGUAACAGAGAAUUAGGGCUCGAUUCCAGAAAGUGAGCCUGAGAAACGGCUACCACAUCUAAGGAAGGCAACAGGCACGCAAAUUACCCAAUCCUGACACGGGGAGGUAGUGACUAUAAAUAACAAUACCGACCUCACAGAGUCUGGUAAUUGGAAUGAGUACAAUCUAAAUCCCUUAACGAGGAUCCAUUGGAGGGUAAGUUUGGUGCCAGUAGCCACGGUAAUUGCAACUCCAAUAGCGUAUAUUUAAGUUAUUGCAGUUAAAAAGCUCGUAGUUGGACCUUGGGUUGGGUCGAAAGGUUUGCUUACGGUGUGCACCGGUCGUCUCAUCCCUUCUACCGGCAAUAUGCUCCUGGCCUUAACUGGUCGGGUCGUACCUCCGGUGCUGUUACUUUGAAGAAAUUAGAGUGCUCAAAGCAAGCUUACGCUUUGGAUACAUUAGCAUGGGAUAACAUUAUAGGAUUUCGAUCCUAUUAGUUGGCCUUCGGGAUCUGAGUAAUGAUUAACAGAGAUAGUCAGGGGCAUUCGUAUUUCAUAGUCAGAGGUAAAAUUCUUGGAUUUAUGAAAGAUGAACAACUGCGAAAGCAUUUGCCAAGGAUGUUUUCAUUAAUCAAGAAUGAAAGCUGAGGGCUUGAAGACGAUUAGAUACCAUCCUAGUCUCAACCAUAAACGAUGCCGACCAGGGAUCAACGGAUGUUGCUUAUAGGACUCCGUCGGCACCUUAUGAGAAAUCAAAGUUU